UACGUAGGUGGCAAGCGUUGUUCGGAAUUAUUGGGCGUAAAGGGCGCGUAGGCGGUUUGUUAAGUCGGCUGUGAAAGCCCGGGGCUCAACCCCGGAGGGUCGGCCGAUACUGGCGAACUAGAGUACGGAAGAGGUAGCUGGAAUUCCCGGUGUAGCGGUGAAAUGCGUAGAUAUCGGGAGUAACACCUGAGGCGAAGGCGGGCUACUGGGCCGAUACUGACGCUGAUGCGCGAAAGCCAGGGGAGCGAACGGG
rnacentral:rRNA from 1 species